CGGGGCCCGCACAAGCGGUGGAGCAUUGUGGUUUAAUUCGAAGCAACGCGAAGAACCUUACCAGGUCUUGACAUCCCGAUGCUAUUUCUAGAGAUAGAAGUUACUUCGGUACAUCGGUGACAGGUGGUGCAUGGUUGUCGUCAGCUCGUGUCGUGAGAUGUUGGGUUAAGUCCCGCAACGAGCGCAACCCCUAUUGUUAGUUGCCAUCAUUCAGUUGGGCACUCUAGCGAGACUGCCGGUAAUAAACCGGAGGAAGGUGGGGAUGACGUCAAAAUCAUCAUGCCCCUUAUGACCUGGGCUACACACGUGCUACAAUGGUUGGUACAACGAGUUGCGAGUCGGUGACGGCGAGCUAAUCUCUUAAAGCCAAUCUCAGUUCGGAUUGUAGGCUGCAACUCGCCUACAUGGAGUUGGAAUCGCUAGUAAUGGCAGAUCAGCAUGCUGCCGUGAAUACGUUCCCGGGUCUU
rnacentral:rRNA from 1 species